GUACGACCCACUGCUUAGUAUAUGCACGUGCUUCGGUGCGAGCAAUAUACAUUAAACUAUAGAGACCGCUGUUUCUUCUUUAAACCAGAGGAAGGAUACGGCAAUAACAGGUCUGUGAUGCCCUCAGAUGUUCCGGGCUGCACACGUGCUACAAUGAUCAUUGCACUGUGCAUCUAACCCAAUGUGCGUGGACGCCGCAUGCAUGUACUCCUUGUGGGUACACGCAUUGCUGAGCGACCACGCCGAACCUACUUCGAAAGUAAAAUUUCUCUGUGGGUAAUCCAUUAGAAGUAAUGACUCGCAUAGACCAUGGCACACCAAAUGUACGCGCAGGUCUACCCGGCUCGCCUUUGUGUGAGUGCAGUGCGUAGCUUGUUGUUUCGUACGUGCCACUCCGUAUUAAUUCGUACGUGGGGAUAGAUCAUUGUUUAAUUGUUGGUCUCGGUCUUAACUAGGAAUGCCUUGUACGGGUCUCUGGUUCAACAUACCACCCGGAAUACGUCCCUGCCCUUUGUACACACCGCCCGUCGCUCUUACCGAUGGAUUAUGCUAUGAAUCUAUAGGACUGCCAAAGUUGCCUCGGCUGCUUAGUGGAAAUAUAUAUGAAUAGCGGAUCUAAAGAAAG
rnacentral:rRNA from 2 species